rnacentral:misc_RNA from 1 species
AAGUCGUAACAAGGUUUCCGUAGGUGAACCUGCGGAAGGAUCAUUAUCGAGUUUUGAACGGGUUGUAGCUGGCCUCAAUACGGGGCAUGUGCACGCCUGGCUCAUCCACUCCUUAACCUCUGUGCACUUUUUGUAGGCUCUGGUUGAAAGGCGUUGCUUCACUUCGGUGUGGUACUCGCUGGAAGACCUGGUCUAUGUUUUAUUACAAACGCUUCAGUUAUAGAAUGUUUAUCUGCGUAUAACGCAUUUAUAUACAACUUUCAGCAACGGAUCUCUUGGCUCUC